rnacentral:rRNA from 1 species
GAUGAACGCUGGCGGCGUGCCUAAUACAUGCAAGUCGAGCGAACGGACGAGAAGCUUGCUUCUCUGAUGUUAGCGGCGGACGGGUGAGUAACACGUGGAUAACCUACCUAUAAGACUGGGAUAACUUCGGGAAACCGGAGCUAAUACCGGAUAAUAUUUUGAACCGCAUGGUUCAAAAGUGAAAGACGGUCUUGCUGUCACUUAUAGAUGGAUCCGCGCUGCAUUAGCUAGUUGGUAAGGUAACGGCUUACCAAGGCAACGAUGCAUAGCCGACCUGAGAGGAUGAUCGGCCACACUGGAACUGAGACACGGUCCAGACUCCUACGGGAGGCAGCAGUGGGGAAUCUUGCGCAAUGGGCGAAAGCCUGACGGAGCAACGCCGCGUGAGUGAUGAAGGUCUUCGGAUCGUAAAGCUCUGUUAUUAGGGAAGAACAUAUGUGUAAGUAACUGUGCACGUCUUGACGGUACCUAAUCAGAAAGCCACGGCUAACUACGUG